ensembl:lncRNA
CGCACACCUGUAAUCCCAUCACUCAGGAGGCUGAGGCAGGAGGAUUGCCAGAAGUUUGAAGCCAGCCUGGGCUACAUAGCGUGGAUGAUGGUGAGGACAUUCCCCGGGAGAUGCUGAUUGGGAUCUAUGAGCGAAUCCGGAAGCGGGAGCUGAAGACAAACGAGGACCACGUGUCCCAGGUGCAGAAGGUGGAGAAACUCAUCGUGGGGAAGAAGCCGAUUGGAUCCCUGCACCACGGGCUUGGCUGUGUGAGUACCUCUCUGCUUCUGCCUCUGGCUGCUGUCCACCUGCCCCGGGGAGCCCCCAUAUGUCCUGCCAUGUCCCUGGCCAGGUCCCCGUGCUCUGGGAGCCAGACUUCUGGCCGCUGAGUUCACUUCGCCCGACCAACACUCGGUUUCCUGGUUCUCUGGACUCACCUCUUGGUGGCCUCGAGACCACAGGCACAAGGGAGGGCUCCAGGGUCAGGCCUGUGGUGGACUCAAUUGUCACCCCUUGGGGUGGCCUCGGAUGGGCUCUGCCAAGAGCCUGCCCCUGGCCCUCACAUCCAGGCCCUGCUUCUCCCAGCCCCAUCCCCACUGCACUGCCUGUGACUGCCCUGCCCUGUGGCCUCAGAGCACAUGGGCACACACUAGGCCAGCAGCAUGGGACACGUCCCCAUCUCUGUCCCCAUCCCCAGUGCCCCAGCGAGACACCUAGACCCCCACACUCCUGUCCUCGACCCUCUCCAGCCCUCGUCCCCCCUGCCUCUCCCCCCUCACACUUCUUUCCCAGGGCACCAGGUGCAUCAGGGCCCGUCCCCUGUGCCCUGUUUCUGUACAAUCAAUCUGUGUCCUAUGAGAGCCAAGGUACUCCCGAGCCAGGCCCAGGCCUCCCUGAUUUGUCCCCCAGCCCUGAGACCCCAGUUAGAACCUUGGGAGCGAGGUUGGGGGAAGCAGGUGCACCGUGGGGGUGUUUGGAGCAGGUGGGCACAGUGGAGGAGGCCUAGGCAGCCACCCUGGGCACAGCUGUGGCUCGGAUCUUGGAGGGGCCCUUCUGGGUUGGAACCACUGAAACCUGUGGGGGCCCGGCAGUGAGGGAGCAUCCCACAGGCUGGAACCAAAUCCCGGCCCUGCAGCCUCCUGGCUUGUUGAUGGAAGGUGCUGUCUCUGCCCCAUCGGCGGCUGGUCUGCUACUGCCGGCUCUUUGAGGUUCCCGACCCCAACAAGCCCCAGAAGCUGGGGCUGCAUCAGCGCGAAAUCUUCCUGUUUAACGACCUCCUGGUGGUACGUGGGUGGCUUGUGCGCUGUGUCCUGGGGCCCCGGUCUCCGUCUGGCGGUGUCUUGGGUUACAAGGGACAGAAUCCAACCCAAACUGGUGCCCAUGGAAAGCAGCCUUCCUUGGUACAGGUGAACAUGCAGCAGAGCGUUUAGAUCUCAGCCACAGCUGUUUUCCGGGACUCCACUCUCUGACCUCUGAGCAGUGUGGGCUGCUUCUCUGGGGGGCUCCUUGCUGGCAGGCACUCUCGAGGAGGGAGGAGGGAGGAGGGAGGAUGCCCUCAGUGCCAGGGCCACCCAGUUCAGAGCCAGUAGGGUUCAUGAGCCUUUUGAGCCUCACAGAGUGAACCUAUGCCUCCCAGCCUCACCCCCUGCCCCAGCCAAUCACUGUGGCUUCUAGGGGGAGUGAGUUCUGAUUGGCUCAGUCUGUGGCCCAAGCCCUACCCCCUGGAGCUGGGAGGAGAUUUCUCUCUUUCCUUCAGAUUAGGCUGAGGGCUGGGGCGGGGCGGGGGGCAAGUUCCCCAGCCGAAGGAAGGCUUGUGCUGCUCCCGUGCCAGGUCUGACUUCUCCACAGGGCUGGUCCCUGAAAGACCAAGGCCUGACCUCGAGGUCAGCACACGGGGCCCUGACUGCCC